GUGGAGCGCGGGGAGGGCGCGCAGCAAGGGCGGCCGCCGUUACGGCGCGGGCGUGGUCACGUGGCCGUCGGUCACCGCUGCCACCGCCCCCUCCCGCCCUGUUCUCUUUCUGGUCGGGUCGGGCCCGGCCGGCACCACGAGCGCCCUGCAGAGACUGAGGGAGAGAGAAAGAGGAGGGGAGGAGGAGGAGGAGGAGGAGGAUUCAGGGAGUAGGAGCUGGGGAGCCCUCCCGCGCCACAGAAAAUUAAAUUUCCAGAGACUUGGUGAAGAUAGGAAAACUAUCAGAAAGACUAUAGCACUAUUGUACUGUGAAAAAUCAGAAAAUUGCCUUCUUUUUUUCCUCUGCUAUUUUUGGUAUACUUGUGGAGGAGACCUCUGUUGUACAGAGCCUGAAGUCAUCUAUGAUCCAUAACAAGAGCAUAAGUUUUCAAGUGUCAGUUAGAUUUGUGGAUCAGUAAAGUUUUCCUGAUAGGUAGUCACUUUUGGUGACAGUGUCCAGUUCUCAAAAUGUAUCAUUCCUUAUCUGAAACUAGACAUCCUCUGCAGCCAGAAGAACAAGAAGUGGGCAUUGAUCCUUUGUCUAGCUACUUAAACAAGCCUGGAGGACCAUCCUUGUGACAUAUGGAAAUUCCUGGGCUAAGGUUUCAAAUCAGAGCUGCAGCUGCCAACCUAUGCCACAGCCAUAGCGACUUGGGAUCUGAGCUGCAUCUAUGACCUAUACCACAGCUCCCAGCAAUGCCAGAUCCAUAACCCACUGGGUGAGGCCAGGGAUCAAACCCGUAUCCUCAUGGAUGCUAGUUGAGUUCAUUUCUGCUGAGCUGGAACAGAAACUACAAUAUUUAAUAUUUUUGAAGUUUUGGAUGAAUAUAGAAAUAGUUACUCAUGAUCCAACAUACCUAUUUUAGGAAAUCUUCCUGCCUGAACAUUUUAAGUGAGUUGGAGAAAAUAACUUGGCAAGUCAAGUCUUGAAGUACUGACUAAAAAAGUCACUGACUCUUAAGAGGGAAAAAUAUAAUGAUAGUAAAGAAAUAUGACGGUAGACUAAAUGAAUAAGAGUAUGUUUUAGUGUGACCUGGAGGAGGCCUUGAGAGUUAACCUGGCAGUGUAGGAAGUGCAGGCUUAGGACAAGGGCGUUGGGGAAUAAGUGACUGAAUGAUGAUGUGGUUUUUACAGCUACAGUUCACAUUUUGAAUACGAGCGGUAAGGAGGAUCAAAAAUGAGAUGAUUAACCAAAUUCUUUGUCUAAGACAUUUAGUCUUUUAUUUUAGUAUACUUAUGUUUCCAUACAGUAAGUUAUGCCCUAAUAAAAAUUAAAGAGCAAGUUGCAUUUGGAAGAUCAGGUCAUCGUAACUCAUUGACAUUAGGCCACAUAACUGAAUAAUGUCUUCCUUCAGUGAAAUACAUCAAAUGAGAUCAACAAUUAUGACUCAUAAACAUGCCUCGCAGGCAUAAAACAGCAGGGAAUUAGCAUGUGAGGCUGAUAAAUAUGCAUGUAAAUAAGCUCCCAAAGGAAUAACAUGGGUUUGAUUGAUAGGUUUAGAAUUGGAACAUAUGUAAACCCCUUUAUUCCUCAUUCUGGUGUAGCUAAGUAAAGAUGCGUUUUACUUGUUAAAAAGUUUCAAUAACUUUGUAAAUCUUAAUGCCACAUCUGUUUUUUUUUUUGUUGUUGUUGUUGUUGUUGUUGUUGGGUUUUUUGUAUGUCACUUGUAAGAUUAAUUGAAUUGUCUACAGGCUGGUUGGCCCUCACAUAUAAGACAUGGUGGAGCAUGUGAGUGAGAGGCUAUGCAUCUGGGGCUAGAGAUGGGGUAGGAGUCUGGGAAAUCUCUGUUAUAAAAUGAUGUAUGCUUAUAUGACAUUUCUUUUGGAAAUGAAGAUGUGACAUAGCAAUUAACUUUGACUCUAAGUAUAUUUCAUAUCCCCUUUCCGUAUUUUUUCAG
rnacentral:lncRNA from 1 species